UGUGUGUUUUUGUUACCAGAGCUGUUGGUUGCGACGAUGUCGGACACAUGGAGCUCCAUCCAGGCUCACAAGAAGCAGCUGGACUCGCUGAGGGAGCGGCUGCAGCGGAGGAGGAAGCAGGAACCCUUGGACCUAAGGAACCCGGAGCUGGCCCUCAGUCCUCCCUUCCGCAGUGACAGCCCAGUGCCUUCAUCUGUCACACCUAGCACUGCCACUGAGCCGGGGGAUCUGGUGACAGACCCUGAGCUUGAGAAGAAGCUCCUGCAACACCUUUCGGACCUGGGACUGGCCCUCCCCACAGAUGCUUUGUCCAUCUGCCAUGCCAUUUCAACGCCAGAGACCCCUGUCACCCAGAGAAGCGUGGAGAGCCUGCUGCAGAAGUUUGCUGCCCAGGAGCUGAUUGAGGUGAAACGAGGCCUCCUCCUAGAAGAUGACCAACCCAUGCUGGUCACCUAUGCUGACCACUCUAAGCUCUCUGCCAUGAUGGGUGCUGUGGCUGAGAAGAAGGGAACAGCGGAAAGUGUUGGGGCUGGAGGGGUGAAGAGGAGAGCAGAGCAAGACAUUGGGGUUUCCACAUCCACGCCGGGGGCCUCUCCUUCUGCUUCAGCACUGUCAGAGCCACUCCGAGAGCCUCCCAAAAAGUCGCGCAAGCAGGCUUCAGAUUUGGACCUGGAGAUUGAGAGUUUGCUAAGCCAGCAGUCCACAAAGGAGCAGCAGAGUAAGAAGGUGAGCCAGGAGAUCCUGGAGCUGCUGAACACAACCACGGCCAAGGAGCAGUCCAUUGUGGAGAAGUUCCGCUCACGGGGCCGGGCCCAAGUGCAAGAGUUCUGUGACUACGGAACCAAGGAGGAGUGCAUGAAGGCCAAUGAUGCUGAGCGGCCCUGUAGGAAGCUGCACUUCCGCCGCAUCAUUAACAAGCACACAGAUGAGUCAUUGGGGGACUGUUCCUUCCUGAACACUUGCUUCCACAUGGAUACCUGCAAAUAUGUGCACUAUGAAAUUGACGCCUGCACUGACUUGGAUGCCUCUGGUGGGCGAGAACUGAGCUCCUGCCAAGAGCUGGCCUUGCCCCAGGCAGUGGGGAGAGACUCCAGUGUAGACCGUCUCUUUCCCCCACAGUGGAUUUGCUGUGACAUUCGCUACCUAGACGUCAGUAUCUUGGGCAAGUUUGCUGUGGUGAUGGCUGACCCUCCCUGGGACAUUCACAUGGAGCUGCCCUAUGGGACGCUCACAGAUGACGAGAUGAGGAGGCUCAACAUCCCUGUAUUGCAGGAUGAAGGCUUCCUCUUUCUAUGGGUCACCGGCCGAGCCAUGGAACUGGGUCGAGAGUGUCUCAACCUCUGGGGGUACGAACGAGUAGAUGAAAUCAUCUGGGUGAAAACAAACCAGCUCCAGCGUAUUAUCCGAACAGGACGCACAGGCCACUGGCUGAACCAUGGCAAGGAACACUGCUUGGUAAUUCAGGGGAAGCUGGGUGAUGAUUCCCACCCACCCCUUAAAAAGUUGGAGUUAAAGGAAACCCCCAGGGCUUCAACCGUGGUCUUGACUGUGAUGUCAUUGUGGCUGAGGUUCGCUCCACUAGCCACAAGCCAGAUGAGAUCUAUGGCAUGAUCGAACGGCUUUCGCCAGGGACCCGAAAGAUAGAACUCUUUGGAAGACCGCACAAUGUACAGCCCAACUGGAUCACCCUUGGCAACCAGCUUGAUGGAAUCCAUUUGCUAGACCCAGAUGUGGUGGCCCAGUUCAAACAGCGUUAUCCAGAUGGGAUCAUCUCAAAGCCAAAGAACAUGUAGCUGGAGGAAGGAGGCUGAGAAGACCUCAGGGCUGUGGACCAAGGAUGUUUUUGUUUUGUGGAAAGGAGGCGGGUGAAAAGGAGAACGUAAAGGACAGUGUAUUCUAAUAUUUAGGUUUUUUAAUAAAAUGGAUUCUUUUCUUCCAUAGCUGAGACUUAGGAAGAAACAGGAGCAAGAUG